rnacentral:ribozyme from 13 species
UUUUUUUUUUUUUUUUUUUUUUUUUUUUUUUUUUUUUUUUUUCUCC